CGCUGGCGGCGUGCUUAACACAUGCAAGUCGAACGGUAAGGCCCUUCGGGGUACACGAGUGGCGAACGGGUGAGUAACACGUGGGUGAUCUGCCCUGCACUUUGGGAUAAGCCUGGGAAACUGGGUCUAAUACCGAAUAGGACUCCGGACUUCACGGUCUGGGGUGGAAAGCUUUUGCGGUGUGGGAUGGGCCCGCGGCCUAUCAGCUUGUUGGUGGGGUAAUGGCCUACCAAGGCGACGACGGGUAGCCGGCCUGAGAGGGUGUCCGGCCACACUGGGACUGAGAUACGGCCCAGACUCCUACGGGAGGCAGCAGUGGGGAAUAUUGCACAAUGGGCGCAAGCCUGAUGCAGCGACGCCGCGUGGGGGAUGACGGCCUUCGGGUUGUAAACCUCUUUCAGUAGGGACGAAGCGCAAGUGACGGUACCUACAGAAGAAGCACCGGCCAACUACGUG
rnacentral:rRNA from 1 species